GGAGAGAUGGCUGAGCGGUUGAAAGCACUGGUAUUGAAAACCAGCAUACGUUUAUAGCGUAUCUAGGGUUCAAAUCCCUAUCUCUCCGCCA
rnacentral:tRNA from 1 species